rnacentral:rRNA from 1 species
UACGUAAGGGGCGAGCGUUGUUCGGAUUGACUGGGUGUAAAGGGUCUGUAGGUGGUUCUGUAAGUCGGACGUGAAAUCCCGGGGGCUCAACCCCGGACUGCGCUCGAUACUGCGGAACUUGAGUACCAGAGAGGUGAGCGGAAUUCACGGUGUAGCGGUGAAAUGCGUAGAUAUCGUGAGGAACACCGGUGGCGAAGGCGGCUCACUGGCUGGCUACUGACACUAAGGGACGAAGGCGUGGGGAGCAAACAGGAUUAGAAACCCCGGAGUC